UACGUAGGGUGCAAGCGUUAAUCGGAAUUACUGGGCGUAAAGCGUGCGCAGGCGGUUUUGUAAGUCUGAUGUGAAAUCCCCGGGCUCAACCUGGGAAUUGCAUUGGAGACUGCAAGGCUGGAGUCUGGCAGAGGGGGGUAGAAUUCCACGUGUAGCAGUGAAAUGCGUAGAGAUGUGGAGGAACACCGAUGGCGAAAGCGACUUCCUGGACCAGUACCGACGUCAGGCACGAAAGCGUGGGGAGCAAACAGG
rnacentral:rRNA from 1 species